AACGAACGCUGGCGGCAUGCCUAACACAUGCAAGUCGAACGAGACCUUCGGGUCUAGUGGCGCACGGGUUCGUAACGCGUGGGAACCUUCCCUUAUGUUCGGAAUAACUCCCCGAAAGGGGUGCUAAUACCGGAUAAUGUCUUCGGACCAAAGAUUUAUCGACUUUGGAUGGGCCCGCGUUGGAUUAGCUAGUUGGUAGGGUAAAAGCCUACCAAGGCGACGAUCCAUAGCUGGUCUCAGAGGAUGAUCAGCCACACUGGGACUGAGACACGGCCCAGACUCCUACGGGAGGCAGCAGUGGGGAAUAUUGGACAAUGGGCGAAAGGAUGAUCCAGCAAUGACGCGUGAGUGAUGAAGGCAUUAGGGUUGUAAAGCUCUUUUAACCGGGAUGAUAAUGACAGUACCGGGAGAAUAAGCUCCGGCUAACUACGUG
rnacentral:rRNA from 1 species